rnacentral:misc_RNA from 1 species
GGGAGUUGAAGCAAAGUGAUCUCGCGAAGCGGCCUACUCGCUGCUCUCUUCACUCGUGUUGUGGCGCCGACGAAGUGCACACGGACGUUCCUGUUCAUCAGUCAGUGCCGGCAAGUGGUGUGUACGGAACGUUCGGUCUCCCAGUCUCGGCACAGAGGAAGAGGAAGCGGCUCGAGUUCUCUCACACCGCGAGCACCAGUCAUGGGCGGAUAUGCAUGGGUUACACUAGCUACAAACGAUGCCUACUCUCUGGGAGCAUUGGUCCUGGCGCAUUCUCUACGCCGGGUCGGCACCAAGCACGAACUGGCUUGCCUGAUCACCCCCGGUGUUACGGCGAUCAUGAGGGAAAAAUUGGCGGAAAUAUUCUCCUUUGUACAAGAAGUCAAUGUUCUCGAUUCAAAGGACGAAGCGAAUCUGGCCUUGCUAGCUAGACCAGAAUUGGGUAUAACUUUUACCAAAUUGCAUUGUUGGAGGUUAACUCAGUACGAAAAGUGUGUAUUUGUCGACGCGGAUACCCUUGUCGUACGAAAUUGCGAUGAGUUAUUCGAGCGAGAAGAGUUAUCAGCUGCGCCCGAUGUCGGCUGGCCUGACUGUUUCAAUUCCGGAGUAUUUGUGUUCAGACCAUCUCAACAAACGUUCGCGUCAAUCAUUGCAUUCGCCGCCGCCAAGGGCUCGUUCGAUGGCGGUGAUCAAGGCUUAUUGAACAUGUACUUCAGCGACUGGGCCACUAAGGAUAUCUCUAAGCAUCUGCCGUUUAUCUACAAUAUGUGUUCCACCGCAACAUACUCGUAUCUUCCCGCAUUUAAACAAUUCGGCGACGACGUAAGAAUAAUACACUUUAUCGGCAUAACGAAACCGUGGUUACAGUAUUUCGAUACUUUGACCGGUACCGUCCAACCCCCACCAGGAUCUGCACAUUUGCAAUCGCUGUUGCAACUAUGGUGGAAUAUAUUCUGCGAACGAGUGCAUCCUCAACUGACGCCUUCCAUGGCCACCAGCACAUUGGCUCCAAUUUGGCACGCAUUUGCUCUCCCAUCCUACGUACCUCCCUUUCCUAGAGAAAUCUCCAAUUACUCCGACGAAGCAAUCCGCAAUACGUACAACUCUCGGACACCGGAUUUCUCCGAAUUUAAAGACCCUUGGGAGGAAUACUCUCCACGGAACGAUUCGUUUUUGACCGAUGGUAGCGCACUGAGUGGCAAGGACAACAGUUGUUACUGCGAAAUUAAGUACGAGAAAGAGCCGAUUUGUCAAAGUGAUCACAAUACAUCUCAACCCGAACACAAUAAACAGUUUCAUCACGAGCAACAGCAUUCUUCUUGCGCGUCUAUACAAAAGCACGAUCAAUAUCAAGAACAUGUGAUUUCUCAUUCUGAAGAAAAUAAUCAAGAGCAUUUUGUACAGCAAACUGAACAUCAUACCUGGCAGCAGUUUAGUGAACAAAGAUAUCACGUUGAACAAUAUCAGCAUAAUGAACAAUAUCAGUGGAAGGAACAGAGACAUCAUCAUGUACAUCAACAUCACGAGCCAAGGCAUCAUAAUGAGCAUCAUCAAUAUCAUGAAAACAAAGCGAGCGAUUAUCAUGUUCAGCAUCAACUAGUUUACGAACAACAGCCUACUGAAGUGAGACACGAGACUCGCGCGCAACACUAUGCUGAUAGUGGUCAAACUAGUCAUCAAGAUGCAGACCAUCACAGUCAUAUUAUAUCUCAUAACGAGUCUCACGCGCAGCAUAUUAAUAGUCAUCAUGCUCAGGAUAAUUUUGCAUCUCACUAUUGUCGAUGUAAGGAACAACAUAGUGAACAAGUGUCGGAAGCUGUAAAUAAGCAGACAGACACACGGAGAAUCGAUUUCCUUCCUUCUCCCUCUCCUAUACCUUGUACAGAUCUCCACAAUGUAGCCACGCGAUCCGACCCGAAAGUAACGGAACAUCUAGACAAUGCAAAUGCGGGUAUUGCCGGUGCCUUGGCUCAAAUAACUUUGGGCGAGGCGAGGAGCGCCGAACAAAUAGCCCUGGAGGAGCACAUGAGGAAGCAGAGUUGGGAGCAAGGACAGAUCGACUACAUGGGUCGCGACAGCUUUGACAAUAUAUGGAAGAAGAUCUGCGAGACACUCUCUCUCGUGCCGCAACGGCAGCUGACUCCACCUAAAGAGGAUAUCGCUAUUUCUGAGCCUGCUGUAACACAGACUGUUGAUGCAUCUGUAAGUGUCGAAGUGGAAAAAUCAGCCGGAACAGAGGACAGCAACUAACAGAUCCUGGCGCCAUAGCAUUGCUGCGUCUUGUAUUGUCGUUUUGCUUUAAUGGGUUGAGGCAGACAAGGAUCCAACGCAAUGUCUAGUAUGUGAAAUUCCCAAA